CCUACGGGAGGCAGCAGUAGGGAAUAUUGCUCAAUGGGGGAAACCCUGAAGCAGCAACGCCGCGUGGAGGAUGAAGGUUUUAGGAUUGUUAACUCCUUUUGUUAGAGAAGAUUAUGACGGUAUUUAACGAAUAAGCACCGGCGAACUCUGUGCCAGCAGCCGCGGUAACACGGAGGGUGCAAGCGUUACCCGGAAUCACUGGGCGUAAAGAGUGCGUAGGCGGGGUAAUAAGUCAGAUGUGAAAUCCUGUAGCUUAACUACAGAACGGCAUUUGAAACUGUUACUCUGGAGUGUGGGAGGGGUAGGUGGAAUUCUUGGUGGAGGAGUAAAAUCCGUAGAGAUCGAGAGGAAUACUCAUUGCGAAGGCGAGCUGCUGGAACAUUACUGACGCUGAUGCACGAAGGCGUGGGGAGCGAACGGGAUUAGAUACCCGAGUAGUC
rnacentral:rRNA from 1 species